AAAGAUCUAAAUAUAUUAUAAAUUUUUUGUGUUAGAAAAAUUUUAAAAAUAUAUUUAGUUGUAAAAUUCUAAUCGCUUUUAUUCAUAUCUAGUAACUUUAGAAGCAAAUUCAGUUUAUGAUAAUUAGAAACAUUUUAUUUUUAAUAAGUUUUAAAAUUAUUUUUAAAUUUAUGGGGAUGAGCUCAUAAAUAGAUAUAAAAGAAUUUAACCAUAAUAAUUUUUUUGUAGGCUUAGAAUUAGCUAUUGGAAAAUGUUAUAAAAAAUAAACUUAAAUUUUUAGAUUUAAAUUUCUUUUUUAAAUAUAAAGUUAAUUAAAAAAUUCAUUUAUUUUUGAAAAUAUGAUAAUAUUAGUAGAUAAAUUUAUUUUGAAGUUAAUAUAAAUUAUUCUUUUUCAUUUUUUAUAAAAACUUUAACAAAAGAACUAGGCAAACAUAAUUUCCGAAUGUUUAACAAAAACAUUUCCUCUUAGAUAAAGAGGUAAGGCCUGCUCACUGAAUUUUAAAGAGCCGCAGUAUACUAACUGUGCUAAGGUAGCAUAAUCAUUAGUCUUUUAAUUGGAGACUGGUAUGAAUGGCUUAACGAGAAAUUGACUUUUUUUGUUAUAAAGAUUGAAUUUAAUUUUUUAGUGAAAAAGCUAAAAUUGUUCAGAAAGACGAGAAGACCCUUUAGAGUUUUAUGUUUUAAAAAAUAAAUUUUUAUUAGAUUUAUGAAUUAUAUAUUUAUAUAAACAUUUUGUUGGGGCGACAUAAAGAUAAAUAAAACUCUUUAUAUUAAAAAUUUUUAUAAAAAUAUUCUUGAUCCUUUAUAAGAGAUUAUAAGAAAAAAUUACCUAAGGGAUAACAGCGUAAUCUUUUUUAAGAGUUCUAAUCGACAAAAAGGUUUGCGACCU
rnacentral:rRNA from 1 species